UUGGGAUAGCUCAGUUGGUAGAGCAUGAGGCUGUUAAUCUCCGGGUUGUGGGUUCGAGCCCCAAGUUGGGCAAAA